GCUGGGGAGUGUGGCCCUGGGUGGACUGACUGUUGUCCUUGUAAUGGUCAUCAUUGGUCUGGUUGUUCAAAACUUGAUGCUUAAAAAAGCUCAAGAAGAACAGAAUCCAGAGCAAAGUCAGAAACGUGGCUCUGAUGACCUGAACUAUGCUUCAGUGACUUUCUGAGAGAAAAAAGAAGAAAACCAGAGACAAAUGUUGUUUAUGCUGCUACCAGAUAGACUCAGGAGAAACUGGGAAUGAUACUGUAUCAUGAUAAUAUGCUCUGUGGCUCUGGAUGGUUUGUUGAUAGGUGGAAAACAAAAUCUCAUUCCGCAAUAAAGACCCAAUAUUCAUUCACUGUCGUA